rnacentral:lncRNA from 1 species
CUUGGUACUGUGGAAUGUCUUUAGAGAUGUCAUAAAGAUCCACAGUUCAUGUCUCCCCUUGACUAAAUUUACUUCACUGAAUAUCAAUGCCUCAAUAUUUGCAGAUUUUGCUGUCCAAGCCAUCCAAGAUUUCCAAGCAUCUUCUAGGCAAGCUGAGCCCAGGAAUCCCUGCUACAUCUGAGAUGUACACCACAGCCUACUGUUCGUGGAGGUGCAUGGUUGCUGACAGGGUCCUAUGGUGUCAGGUGUUCAACCACCAAAGUGCAGAGACCAACACUAAAAGGUAACUGGGCUAAGACCACCAAUAUGUUGGCCCUGGCUCUCCAAGGUCAUCAAAAAUCCAAGGUAUGAAAGGACCUUUUCUAUAAUGCCUUACAUCUUUGGUAAAUCACCCAACCUCCUGAACAGGGAGAUUGCUGGGCACAAGAGAAAAAAAGAAAUGUGUGCCAAAAGAGGGUCACCAAGAGAAAAAAAUC